rnacentral:rRNA from 1 species
GCUCUUUGCUUACAUAAAUAUAGGGAGUCGAGCCUGCCCAGUGAAUUUUUAAACGGCCGCGGUACUCUGACCGUGCAAAGGUAGCAUAAUCAUUUGCCUUAUAAUUGAAGGCUAGUAUGAAUGGUUUGACGAGAGCAACACUGUCUCCUUUUUAUUUUCAAGAACUUAACUUUUAGGUGAAGAGGCCUAAAUUUUAUUGAAGGACAAGAAGACCCUAUCGAGCUUAAAAGACAUUAUAGAAGUUUAUAUAUUUUUAAAUAAAUUUUCUAUCAAGCUUUUUAGUUGGGGCGACUAAGGAACAAAAAAAGCUUCUUGCUGAUAAUAAGCAGUCAUGUUUAGAUCCGAUAAUAGUCGAUCAAAGAAAUUAGUUACCGUAGGGAUAACAGCAUAAUCUCUCUUGAGAGACCUAAUCGAAAGAGGGGGUUGUGACCUCGAUGUUGGACUAGAAUAUCCUAAAGAUGCAGAAGUCUUUAAGGGUCGGUCUGUUCGACCGUUAAAAUUC